rnacentral:lncRNA from 1 species
CCCCCCCCCCCCCCCCCCCCCCCCCCCCCCCCCCCCCCCCCCCCCCCCCCCCCCCCGUUCUUCCCCCAGAGGGUGCUGGGCACUGCCCAGGCUCCCCCGGGAAUGGGCAGGGCCAUUCCAGAGCUCCAGGAGAGCUUGGACAGCGCUCCAGGGAUGGCCAGGGUGGGAUUGUUGGGGUGUCUGUGCAGGGACAGGGGCUGCAUCAAUGACCCUUGUGGGGUCAGCUCCGGAUAUUCUGUGAUUCUCCUGCCCACGGGAGAAAACAAAGCCACGUGCCCUAAAAACUGCCCAGAGAGGAGGUGCAGGAUCCUGACAGAUCUGCUCUAUAAAACAUGUUCCUAUUCUGGCUCUAACCGGUCUCUGGAGUGUCCUGUCACCGCUGUCACACGUGUGACAUCAGCACGAGGGCCAAAGAACCUCCGAGAACCACCCAGACCCCACACACCGAGCCCGAGGGAGCCAACCCCGAGCAGUGCCAGCGAGCAGGCAGAGGGAUGGAUUCUGCUGCAGCGGGGACAAGGGUGUGUCCCCAAACCAGGCUGGCACAGGAGGUGUCAGGUCCGCACACGCUGCCAGUUCUCUCCUCAAAGCUUCCCUGGAGGGUGGGCAGGGCUGGCACAGGGUGUCCAGAGCAGCUGUGGCUGCCCCUGGAUCCCUGGCAGUGCCCAAGGCCAGGCUGGACAGAGCUUGGAGUUCCCUGGGACAGUGGAAAUGUCCCUGCCAUGGCAGGGGUGGCACCGAGGGAUGAGUUCCCUGGGACAGUGGAAAUGUCCCUGCCGUGGCAGGGGUGGCACCGAGGGAACUCCAGAGGUCCCUCAACUGUUCCGGGGUGCUGUGAUUACACUCCUGCACCGCUCAUCCUCCUGAAUUGGGAUGGGAAUAUCCCAAUGAGCCAAUGAUCGCGCCCAGCAUCACCGGGAAGGGAACAAACCCAACGAGCAGGGUUUGUGCCCUGCAGCUCCCAGGUACAAUCGGUGCCAGCGAUGCCCUCAGCACACACAGCCCUUGCUGGGGGCAGUCGGGUCUCGGGAUCCCCAUAGAAAUACAGCACGACCCCGCACAAAUUGAAUUUUUUUUUUUUUUC